rnacentral:rRNA from 1 species
UACGAAGGGAGCUAGCGUUGUUCGGAAUUACUGGGCGUAAAGGGCGCGUAGGCGGUGAGAUAAGUUUGGUGUGAAAGCCCUGGGCUUAACCUAGGAAUAGCAUUGAAUACUGUCUGACUAGAGACUGAGAGAGGGAAAUGGAAUUGCGAGUGUAGAGGUGAAAUUCGUAGAUAUUCGCAAGAACACCGGUGGCGAAGGCGAUUUCCUGGCUCAGUACUGACGCUAAGGCGCGAAAGCGUGGGGAGCAAACAGG